UACGUAGGUGGCGAGCGUCGUCCGGAUUUACUGGGCGUAAAGGGAGCGUAGGCGGACUUUUAAGUGAGAUGUGAAAUACUCGGGCUCAACUUGAGUGCUGCAUUUCAAACUGGAAGUCUAGAGUGCAGGAGAGGAGAAUGGAAUUCCUAGUGUAGCGGUGAAAUGCGUAGAGGUUAGGAAGAACACCAGUGGCGAAGGCGAUUCUCUGGACUGUAACUGACGCUGAGGCUCGAAAGCGUGGGGAGCAAACAGG
rnacentral:rRNA from 1 species